rnacentral:rRNA from 1 species
UACGAAGGGUGCAAGCGUUAAUCGGAAUUACUGGGCGUAAAGGGUGCGUAGGCGGUUGUUUAAGUCUGUCGUGAAAGCCCCCGGCUCAACUGGGGAGGGUCACGCGAUACUGAUCGACUCGAAGGCAGGAGAGGGUAGUGGAAUUCCCGGUGUAGUGGUGAAAUGCGUAGAUAUCGGGAGGAACACCAGUGGCGAAGGCGACUACCUGGCCUGUUCUUGACGCUGAGGCGCGAAAGCUAGGGGAGCAAACGGG